UGCGCAUGCCCUUAAAAGAAACAAGAGGAUUUCAUGUGUAUAUAUUCCUUCCUAAAAAUUGUUCUUUUCUCUUGGAGGAUAAAGUGGAUGCAAUGUCCAGCAUGCGCA
rnacentral:ncRNA from 1 species